rnacentral:piRNA from 1 species
UGCACUGCAAGGUCGCAAGGUCGCAAG